rnacentral:rRNA from 1 species
UGCUUUUUGUAAUAACAUAAAAAGUAUCUUCCUGCCCAGUGAUAAUUUUAAAUGGCCGCGGUAUCCUAACCGUGCAAAGGUAGCAUAAUAAUUUGCCUAUUAAUUGUAGGCUAGAAUGAAAGGAAUAACGAAAUAAGAACUAUCUAAACUAAUCAAAUUUAAUCUUAUUUUAGAGUGAAGAAGCUCUAAUUUAUUUAAAGGACAAGAAGACCCUAUAGAGCUUAAAUAAUAAAAUAAAAUUUAUAUACGUUAUUUCGGUUGGGGCGACCUAGGAAAAUUCAUCCUAACUAAAUCAGACAAAUAUGUCAAUUCAAAAAACCUAUUCAGAUUUUAGACCAAGCUACCUUAGGGAUAACAGGCUAAUCUUACUCAAGAGCUCAUAUCUAAAGUAAGGAUUGGCACCUCGAUGUUGGCUUAGAGAAUCAGUUUGGCGCAGUAGUCACACAUGAAGGUUUGUUCAACCUAUAAUUCUC